rnacentral:rRNA from 1 species
AUGCACGCUGGCGGCGUGCCUAAUACAUUCAAGUCGCGCGAACAGACGAGGAGCUUGCUCCUCUGACGUUAGCGGCGGACGGGUGAGUAACACGUGGAUAACCUACCUAUAAGACUGGGAUAACUUCGGGAAACCGGAGCUAAUACCGGAUAAUAUAUUGAACCGCAUGGUUCAAUAGUGAAAGACGGUUUUGCUGUCACUUAUAGAUGGAUCCGCGCCGCAUUAGCUAGUUGGUAAGGUAACGGCUUACCAAGGCAACGAUGCGUAGCCGACCUGAGAGGGUGAUCGGCCACACUGGAACUGAGACACGGUCCAGACUCCUACGGGAGGCAGCAGUAGGGAAUCUUCCGCAAUGGGCGAAAGCCUGACGGAGCAACGCCGCGUGAGUGAUGAAGGUCUUCGGAUCGUAAAACUCUGUUAUUAGGGAAGAACAAAUGUGUAAGUAACUAUGCACGUCUUGACGGUACCUAAUCAGAAAGCCACGGCUAACUACGUG